UAAGACGAACCGUGCGAACGUUGUUCGGAAUCACUGGGCUUAAAGGGCGCGUAGGCGGGCGAUCAAGUCCGGGGUGAAAGCUUUCGGCUCAACCGGAAAAGGGCCUUGGAUACUGAUCGUCUGGAGGGAGGUAGGGGCCCGUGGAACUUCCGGUGGAGCGGUGAAAUGCGUUGAUAUCGGAAGGAACGCCGGUGGCGAAAGCGACGGGCUGGAUCUCUACUGACGCUGAGGCGCGAAAGCCAGGGGAGCAAACGGGAUUAGAUACCCCGGUAGUCCUGGCCCUAAACGAUGGGUACUAGGUAGCGGACUUGACAUGGGUUCGCUGCCGAAGCCAAAGUGCUAAGUACCCCGCCUGGGGAGUAUGGUCGCAAGGCUG
rnacentral:rRNA from 1 species